AGAGUGUGUGUAUAGGGGGGGGGGGGGGGGGCGGAGAGAGAGAGAGGGAGAGAGAGAGAAUCCCAAGCAGCCUCUAUGCCCAGUUGGAUCUGACAGAAGGCGUGAUCUCACAACCAUGAGAUUAUGACCUGAGCCACGAUCAAGAGUCAGACGUUUAACCAACCGAGCCACCCAGGUGCCCAGGAAGGAGUAUUUCUUUUUAAAUGUCCAUUCUUCUCUCCUAUCUAAAUAACUUGCUUCUUUGGGUGGAAGGAAUAUCUAUGUUUCUCCUUUGUAUGAAAGCAACCCUAAUUUUUUUUUUUUCUAAUGAGAAAAGGAAGGGUUCUUCAAAAAACAGAACUGCUACUUUGAGCUAUCUUGGAAGGUGGAUCUUCUGAGUGAUAGAGCAGUGUAGAAACCAAGACCUUCCAGACCCAGGCUGAUGACGACUGCCUUGAAGAGACACAACCACUGUUGAUAAACAGGUGAAUGAUUUGGGUCCAACGGGACUUCAGGUCUAUUCCUGAGGACCUGGUUCCCAUUCCAGCCAACCAUCCAUGGUGACAGAGCAAGGUCUUAGAGACAGCUCACGCGGUUCUGCUGUCUUAUCAGAAACAUGGAGAUAACAGUGCCUAUCUUACAGGACUGUGGUAGAGGUCAUAUGAGAUAACACAGUUAAAGCCCAACAAAGAAAUCACUACUGAUAAGAGCUAAUAAAUAAUAACAAUAAUCAUAGUAAGGGCUUGGUAAAACUGAGCUGCUCUUAUUAUCAUUAUCCUGGUAUGUCUCCCUUUUGGCGGCCUAAAUCUCAGUAGGAUCUACUUCUCUCAAACAUUCUCUUCCUCAGAAAA